AUUGAACGCUGGCGGCAGGCCUAACACAUGCAAGUCGAACGAGUGGCGGACGGGUGAGUAAUGUCUGGGAAACUGCCCGAUGGAGGGGGAUAACUACUGGAAACGGUAGCUAAUACCGAAUACCCUCGGAAGUGCCCACAUGGGAUUAGCUGGUAGGUGGGGUAAAGGCUCACCAAGGCGACGAUCCCUAGCUGGUCUGAGAGGAUGACCAGCCACACUGGAACUGAGACACGGUCCAGACUCCUACGGGAGGCAGCAGUGGGGAAUAUUGCACAAUGGGCGCAAGCCUGAUGCAGCCAUGCCGCGUGUAUGAAGAAGGCCUUAGGGUUGUAAAGUACUUUCAGCGGGGAGGCGUUACUCGCAGAAGAAGCACCGGCUAACUCCGUGCCAGCAGCCGCGGUAAUUC
rnacentral:rRNA from 1 species